UGACCUCAAGUCAAGUAAGAAUACCCGCUGAACUUAAGCAUAUCAAUAAGCGGAGGA
rnacentral:rRNA from 1 species